rnacentral:tRNA from 1 species
GCCACCUUAGCUCUAAUGGUUAGAGCGGCUGACUUGUAAUCAGCAGGUUCUCGGUUCGAAUCCGAGAGGUGGCU